UGGAAGUAAUGGAGCCUUCUGGGAUGCCGUUGAAAGGAGCUGUCCUCCCUGGCAUGUGAACAGUGCUUGACUGGCUAUGAAUAAAAGUCAAUUAUGCCAGUAUCUCCCUCAAAGAUGGUGAGAAUCAGGAGUGCUGAAAUCAUGCAUGCAUGUAUGACUUACUUCUGGUGGACCCACCGCGGGAUCAGAAAUGUCUACACUGUUGCUGCUUUUCUAAUUUUAGAAAAAUAGUGGCAAGUCUCUGGAACGACCCUAACAAUCCCACAUUCAUGAAGUGGCUCAAACCAGCAGGACUCGUGUUUGGAAUGGAAAGACCGGAGCUGAGGAAAAGGAAAGUGGAAUUUCUCUUUGGAGUUUUGAAGUCUCUCCUUAGCUUAUGACUUUGAGUUGCUUGAAAAGCUUGAAGGAAUUUCCACACUUAGCACACUUCCCGUGGCUGCCGGCCGCCUGGCUCCAAAGCACAUUUUGUGAGGUUUCAGUGUGUUCUCAUUCCUCAGCAUUAUAAUGGAUGCUGUCACUAGAGCUGGAUCCUGGCCGUGUAAGGCAGGUCACCCGAAAAGGCUGACCAGGGCCCUGUUUCCUGACUGAAUGCUUGGUUGAUGGUAUCUUGUCUGAUUCAUAUCCUAUUGGAAACGGUGUGAAGCACGGCCUGGAAGUAGAUCUGGUUUGAAUCAAUCUGGCCUACACAGCCUUGCUUGACAGGCAACAGAGGCUGGACUGCUGGUUUUAAAAGAGAAAUCCUAGUUUUAGAGAAGUUUUUUUCUUUUCCUUCAAAAGACUGAGAAACUUACCGAUUUCUUUUGACUAACACAGUGCUGCACAAACAUACAAUGCUUUAAAAAUUUCCUCUUUUGUUGUUUCACAUAUGCAUUCACCAAAUAUUCAUUUAGAUGCCUGUUUUAUGCCAGGUACUAUACUAGUACCUGUUAGGAAGACAAUCAUGAGCAAAAUAGACUUCAUUCCUGCCCUCAUGAAGAUUACAGUCUAGUGGGGAAGAUAGAAAUUGAACAAACACCAAAACUAAUAUAAAUAAGUGCUUGUAAAUGAAAGAUAUAGGGUUCCAAGAGGGACAACAUACAAAAGGGGUUCUCGCUUAGAUUGAGGAGCUCAGGAUGCAAGGAAGAGACAUUGAAACAGACGCCUGGUAGAUAGAUAGGAAAUAUGCAAGCAAAGAGCUUGGGGAAAUGGUUCUGGACAGAGGGAACAGCAGAGGUGAGGCAAAGUGGGUUCAGGUGGGGCUCAAGAGACAGAGAGAGCCCAGAUCAUGCAGGACCUGAUGGCCAAGAGCAAGAUUUUGUGUUUUGAAUUCUCCCUCCAAUCAGUUUUGUUUAAAGCACUUUCUACUAGUGUCAACUGGAUUGGAUGCAACACACUAUCAUUGAGUGAAUUAUUAGGUUGGUGCAAAAGUAAUUGCGGUUUUUGCCAUUAAUGGGUUGUGCCAGCCUUAUAGAUCCUGAAAUAGCCAAUUCAGAGCAAGGUUGCUGGCAUUCUCCACUGAAGAGCUGGAUUGGGGGUGGGGCCAAUAUUAAAGCACUAGCUUGGGAGAAAGAUGGAAUUUAAAUGUCCAUAUAUUACCCUAUUUAUUAUUUUCAUUGCCAUUCUCCAUUUGUAUUUCCUUUCAAUCAAAAAUUACUGAGAACAUCUUAUAUGCAAAAUGCCUUGAAAGAUUCAAAGAGUUCUGGGACACAUCCUUUCUCUCCAGGAAUUUAUGUCUUAGUGGAAAAGCCAGCUCUGUGAAUCACCCUACAAAACCACAGACUUAUGCAGCAAAAUGGACAGCAUCUGAAAUAUCAUCUGGUCCAGGUUCACAGAUAUAUUCUCCAGGGUCACAGAGCUCUAGAGUAAUUGUCUUUUAAUUUUGUGGUUUUCAUUUUGAUUAUAAUCUAAAACGUAUUUUACUGGUUAUAAAGGAAAAAAAAAGAUCCUCUUGUUUGCCCUAAUGAUUUACAAUUGAGAGACAUUUCAAGUCAUAAGACUUUAGUUCCUUAAGUCACUGUUUGUCCAACUAGGAUCCAUGGAGUCUUCAGGGCCCACAGAUGUAUUUUCAGGAGUCUAUUAAAGUUAUUCUUCCCUUGAAAUGUGUCCUUAUAUCACCAAGUCUGAGAAACUAACCUAUUCCAACACGUCAUUAUCACAGACUUUUUUUUUUUUUUUUUUUAAAGAUCAAGGCCUAGGAAGAGUAAGAAUAAAAUUCCUAAAACAUUUUAGAUUUCUUAUAUUAAUUAGAAAUCAUCGUUUUCAACGUUUUUUUGAAUUCUUUAUCUCAUUGCUUUCUUAUAAAUAUCCAUGACCCACACACCCACACAAAAUAGACAGUAUUAUUAUCCUCAUCAUAGAGAUAAAGAAAUUGAGAUUCGUAGCUGUUAAGUAACUUGCCCAAGUUCAACUAAUAAUAGUAAAUGCAAACAGUGGCGUUGGAAUGAAAACAAUCUACUUUCCAGGCCAGUAGUCAUGCCAUUGUCCGAACUUUCUAGCAUUUAGGGCAACAGAUGUAACACAUUAAAAUCUGC
rnacentral:lncRNA from 10 species